AAGUCGUAACAAGGUAACCGUAGGUGAACCUGCGGUUGGAUCAUUAUCAAGUAUAAAACAACAGAGUGGCUUCUUUUAAUGGUUGUUCACUCUGUCCCGUCAAUGGGUUUGGGGUCCUGCGACGCUCUUGUGGGCUCGUUGGACAACUAGAAAAACAUACUGUGAACUGUCUUUGUCUCUGGCGGCUGGAUGGUCUCAAACACCAUCUGUCAGCUUCAUCAAGUCUCGUGAACCUACUUCAUGUGGUGACACAAAAGCUUGGAAGCCGUGGACAAGCCGUCAAAACCUUUGAGCUCAUGAACUCAUGAGACUCAUGAAAAACUAUGUUCUGUUUAGUUGACUGACCUACAAUACAAAAAGUAAUGUAACAAAAACAACUUUUGGCAACGGAUCUCUUGGCUCUC
rnacentral:misc_RNA from 1 species